UACGUAGGGCGCAAGCGUUGUCCGGAAUUACUGGGCGUAAAGAGCGUGUAGGCGGCCAGGUAGGUCGGUUGUGAAAACUGGAGGCUCAACCUUCAGAGGUCGACCGAAACCAUCUGGCUAGAGUCCGGGAGAGGAGAGUGGAAUUCCUGGUGUAGCGGUGAAAUGCGCAGAUAUCAGGAAGAACACCCGUGGCGAAAGCGGCUCUCUGGAACGGUACUGACGCUGAGACGCGAAAGCGUGGGGAGCGAACAGG
rnacentral:rRNA from 1 species